rnacentral:rRNA from 1 species
GUGGGGGAUAUUGCGCAAUGGGCGAAAGCCUGACGCAGCGACGCCGCGUGGGUGAUGAAGGCCUUCGGGUCGUAAAGCCCUGUCGAGGGGAACGAAACGGCUAGGUCCUAAUACGUCCUAGUCUUGACGGUACCCCUAAAGGAAGCACCGGCUAACUCCGUGCCAGCAGCCGCGGUAAUACGGAGGGUGCGAGCGUUGUUCGGAAUCACUGGGCGUAAAGGGCGCGUAGGCGGCCCGCUAAGUCUGAUGUGAAAGCCCGGGGCUCACCCCCGGAAGGGCAUUGGAAACUGGCGGGCUCGAGUCCCGAAGAGGAGGGUGGAAUUCCUGGUGUAGCGGUGAAAUGCGUAGAUAUCAGGAGGAACAUCGGAGGCGAAGGCGGCCCUCUGGGCGGUGACUGACGCUGAGGCGCGAAAGCGUGGGGAGCAAACAGGAUUAGAAACCCCGGUAGUCC